rnacentral:rRNA from 1 species
UGCCAGCANHMGCGGUUAUACUUGGGUACUUCAAUUUAUUAUUGUAGGUUCAAACAUUUGUUUAAAAAUUCUAAGUUUGGGUGAAAUUUAAGAAGGGUUCUUCCAGCUUAAACAUGGUUUAAAAAAUUUAUAUGGAAGACUAGGAUUAGAGACCCUAUUAUUCUUAAAUAUAUUAAUUAACCUAAAUAUUACAGACAUACGUGUCUCAAAUUUAAAGAACAUGGCUAUUGCUCAGUAAUCUUAGGGGAUUCUGCUUUUGUAAACAAUAAUCCGUGAUAAAUUUUUCCUUUGUUAAAAUCUGUAUAUCGCCGUUCUUUUAUAGUAUAAAAAAUAUAUAAAAAAGUACUUAAUAAGUGAUAAAUCAGGUCUUGAUAUAGUGAACAAAGGUUUAAAGUUGAAUACACUUUUAUGAUUUAAUAGGAAACUUUAACUAAAAGGGACUUAACAGUAAUAUAAAUUUAAAAUAUUUGUAUGAAGAUUUACUCUGAGAAGGUACAUAUCGCCCGUCGUCCUUUUUUCAUAGAAAAGAWAAGUCGUAACAHAGUA